GGAAGAACCGGAUUGUUCAGUCACUUAUGAAAAAAACGAUUGUAUCUCUACGGUAGAACUGGUUCCUUUGGGUGGAAAGUAAACACCCAAGUUUGUAGGCAAAUAGAUGCCUAACCUGCACUAGAGGUACUGGAUCAGGGGAGUUUAUAUAACCCACGAUUUGAUCUCUGUUGGGCCCUGGGGGUGGGAGUUCCCAGCAAUAUCCUUCAAUAUAUUCUAAUAUAGGGUGGUCUCCUAUUUGUGACCGCUUAUAAGUAUUGCAACGAUCUGCCGACAUUUAUGCUGCCAUCCUUUCUAUGGCAGGAACGGGGGCUUCUGAGGGUAGUUUUAUUAGUGGGAUAACUGGAUUAUUAAAUCGCCUAGGAAAAUAUGCCCGGUCCCAGGGACAGAAGAAAUGUUUGAGAAGGCAACAAAAAACUCCAAUAAUAAACAAGACACAAAGGCCAGAGAAAAUCCAGGCCGAAAUGACUCCUGGAGCAGACCAUGAACUCAUUUGAUGAAUUAAAUACUACCAGGGGAAAUAAAAACCAUACAACCUGAACCUGCCACAGAACUUAAUACCUGGGGAGAAUUAUCAAAGGGAUGGCACGACGGCUAUGACACUGAGGGAAUAGGAUCCUUCGUGAGGUUAUAGCCGCAAGAAGGGACCAUUAUGUAGAAAGCGGGAGGCAGAAACACAAAAGGUUCACUAACUGUGACCCGAGAAUCCAAAACCGGUAAUUCGACAACAAAAAGGAACACUGGCAGGUGUAAGUAUGCAUCUGGAAACAUUAACUGCAGAGUUUUUUAAGUCCCUUCAAUGUUUUUACUAUUCUAACUGUAGGUUUACCUUUGUGUAUUGCACGUCCCUUUAUUAAGUUGUGUGUAUCACCCGAGUCUUUUACUGCUUUUACUGGAGUUUGGCAGACAAGUGUCGGACGGGCUACCGCGGAGGCUUUAGAGGCUUGUGGGUCUCAAGGCAGACGGGUUAAGUGUCUGACUGUGGCCCCAUCCCAAAACUGUUUCCCCAAAAUUCUUGGAAUUCCUGGAAUACCCCAGAAAUCCUGCUGACUACGCCAUGUGGAGAUUAACGGAAGGAGGAGGCAUACGUCAAGGCCCCAGUAGGGCCCUAAUGGGGCUCUGGGUGAUGGCUACUUCCCACCACCCAACACAGAUGGAAUGAGGUUGAGUAGUGUCCGCAAAAGAGAAACUAAACAUCUAAUUAUUCUUCAAAGAAGGCUUUUAAUGAUUUACGACUAUAAAGGCAACACAGACAGAACAAGAAAAACAGAAUUAAAGACCAGCACUGAGUGAGGAUUAACACAAAUGGCAAGUUAUACUGGAGACAAGCACAAGUACCUGUAAUAUUAUGCAUUAUUUACUACUGUAAGUACAUAUAUAAAAAGCAAGUUAUAUUGAAGACAGUCACAAGUACACGCAAUGCUGCCAUUACUUAUUGCCUAGCAACUUCACAUGUACUGUAACCAUCCCCAACCAACAUAAAUUCAUAUGCAAUAAUGAUA